UUUCCGUAGGUGAACCUGCGGAAGGAUCAUUAUUACAUAACCUCAAUGCGCAGAAUGUCUCUGGCCCGUACGGUCGCGCUCCCCCGAGUGCCCUCACCCACAUCCAUCUCCACCCUAUGUCCGCCACCGCGUGGCUCCCCCGUGGGCUUGUUCGGAGGGGGGCUUGGGUAUUCACAACAACUUUGUAUGCAGUGUAGAAUGUCUUUUUUGUUUUUGCACUCACGCGAUCAGUACAACUUUCAACAACACAUCUCUUGGCUCCCGCAUCGAUGAAGACCG
rnacentral:misc_RNA from 1 species